ACUAACAAGGAUUCCCCUAGUAACUGCGAGUGAAGCGGGAAAAGCUCAAAUUUAAAAUCUGGCAGCCUUCGGUUGUCCGAGUUGUAGUCUGGAGAAGUGUUUUCCGCGCUGGACCGUGUAUAAGUCCCUUGGAAUAGGGCGUCAUAGAGGGUGAGAAUCCCGUCUUUGACACGGACUACCAGUGCUUUGUGAUGCGCUCUCAAAGAGUCGAGUUGUUUGGGAAUGCAGCUCAAAAUGGGUGGUAAAUUCCAUCUAAAGCUAAAUAUUGGCGAGAGACCGAUAGCGAACAAGUACCGUGAGGGAAAGAUGAAAAGCACUUUGGAAAGAGAGUUAAACAGUACGUGAAAUUGCUGAAAGGGAAACGCUUGAAGUCAGUCGCGUUAUGCAGAACUCAGCCUGGCUUUUGCUUGGUGUAUUUUCUGUAUGACGGGUCAGCAUCAAUUUUGAUCGCUGGAAAAAGGCCUCAGAAAUGUGGCACCUUCGGGUGUGUUAUAGUCUGGGGUCAUAUACAGCGGUUGGGAUUGAGGUCUGCAGCACGCCUUUAUGGCUGGGGUUCGCCCACAUUCGUGCUUAGGAUGCUGGCGUAAUGGCUUUAAACGACCCGUCUUGAAACACGGACCAAGGAGUCUAACAUGCCUGCGAGUGUUUGGGUGGAAAACCCGAGCGCGUAAUGAAAGUGAAAGUUGAGAUCCCUGUCGUGGGGAGCAUCGACGCCCGGACCAGACCUUUUGUGACGGAUCUGCGGUAGAGCAUGUAUGUUGGGACCCGAAAGAUGGUGAACUAUGCCUGAAUAGGGUGAAGCCAGAGGAAACUCUGGUGGAGGCUCGUAGCGAUUCUGACGUGCAAAUCGAUCGUCAAAUUUGGGUAUAGGGGCGAAAGACUAAUCGAAC
rnacentral:rRNA from 1 species